CACGUAGGGGGCAAGCGUUGUCCGGAUUCAUUGGGCGUAAAGCGCGUGUAGGCGGCUUUGCAAGUCGGGUGUGAAAGCCCUCAGCUCAACUGAGGAAGUGCGCCCGAAACUGCAGAGCUUGAGUGCCGGAGAGGGUGGCGGAAUUCCCCAAGUAGAGGUGAAAUUCGUAGAUAUGGGGAGGAACACCGGUGGCGAAGGCGGCCACCUGGACGGUAACUGACGCUGAGACGCGAAAGCGUGGGGAGCGAACAGG
rnacentral:rRNA from 1 species